AGCUUCUAUUGCAUGGACUCAAUAGAUCUGAGUAUGGAAAUAAAUAACAUCUACACCAUAGGACUCCAACAUGGUUUCUCAAAGACAUUUAUAAAAGGAAUCCACAAUAGAGUGCAAAGACACGUAGCAGCCGGGCUGCGAACGAUAGUAAACACAGAAGAAACUGCUGUGCCAGAUCGAGACUAUUUUCCCGUACCAUACUCUUUGAAACACCAGAAUGUGUUUCAAGGGGUAUGGUAUUAAGAAAUGUGUUGAGAAAUACAGCAAAAAAACCAACAUUCACAAGGAACCCGAUCAUAUUUAGCAGAGUAAGGAACGACAAAGACAAGCAAAAAACCUUGGAGAAAAGAGGCAUUUACGAGAUUCCAAUUAGGUACGAAGACACACAAAGACAAGCCGUAUAUAUAGGGGGUUACCAAAAGGAACUUGGGUACAAGAAUAAAAGAGCACAAGGAUGACAUUAAAAAAGCAAGACUUAAUACUGCAUUGGCAACUGAAGCAUAUCAAGAGAACAUAAAUAUCUUAUGGGAUCA
rnacentral:lncRNA from 1 species